rnacentral:antisense_RNA from 1 species
CUUUAUCGACCCCAGCAGAAGGGGAUCGGUCCGGUCCCUGCCGUAAGUGGCCAGCAGGGCCUGCGCCUC